GGCCGGCUAGCUCAGCUGGUUAGAGCAACGGACUUAAAUUCCUUCCGUCGGUGGUUCAACUCCUCCUCCAGGUA